rnacentral:lncRNA from 1 species
UUUUUUUUUUUUGUAGAUUUGACAAAUGGAUAUUAAAGGGAUACAAAAUUGAUACUUUUCAUACUAUUACGACAGAGCACUGUAAAAUGAAUACUUUACAUACUAUUACGAUAGAGCACUAGUUGUAUAGCACUACUUCUUGCUUCUAACUAUAGAAACAGUUUUAUGAAACACUAAUUAACCAACCGAACCGGUUAUUAACCACUUUCCGGCCCACUCUCACCCCUUCUCUGUAGCCAGCUAUGGCUAAUGAGCUCAUCUUCUCCUUUUUCACGUCAUACUCUGUUUCGCCUUUCUCGAUUUCUAUAAGCUUUUUCGAAAGCUACAGAAUCAUUCCAUUAGCCGUUGAUUUCAACGGCCGAGAUCAAAAGAGUUCACCGGUGGUCCCUACUCCUCUGCCAUUUUCCCGUCCGUUUUCUUGUCGGAUUCUCUCUUUCUUUUACAGAGCAGCAGAGAUCUAAAGCUUACAGACUUUAUCCACCGAUCCAGCAAACCGCCAUUGGAGGAAAUCACACUCAACCCAGUGUUCUAGAUGAUGCUAAUCAUAAACCCAGAUCGGCCAUUUCUCGAUUUUUUUCAUUCCCACGAAGCAAUUCAAAACUCAAAAUCCCCUGUUUCCGGCUACGAGAUGCAGAGUACUGAACUGGAAAUGAAUCCGUAGAGAAUCCGGAUUAAGAAAUGGAAAUGGAAGGAACAAUGGAAUACGGUAUAAACAGACCAAUUACAGUACUAUAGAUUAAUAAAUCGAACUGUUGACAAAAUCCGCCAUGGGAGUUUAACAACCAAAGAAAGAAAAAGAAUUACAAUUUGUAAAAAUCAAAAGUGGCAGCCGCAGCAGAGGUAGAAGAAGGAAACGGUGGCGACCAAAACGACGGCUUCCAGAGCCGAAACGACCUUGAAGAGGACAUCGUCGACGAGCGAAAUCUGAAGAUAUUCCACUCGCUUCCAUUUGAAAGCAGACGUCAAGUACUUCCACCUCCAUCUAAGCGAAUCUUUGUUCACUUUCAUGAUCAUUCUCUUUAGAACCCACGAUCCUGAUCUCUUCUUCUGCUUCUUCCUACUCUCGCUGUCGCCGGUGGCGGCGGCGACGCACGGCGGACUCAUGCUUGCUGCCGGUCUGAUUUCUUCUUCUCCGUCCAAGGUAGCAUCGUUGCUCCUCAUCUGAAGCUCGGACAGAAGAUUUGGGAAAUGGGUGAUGGAGUUUUUGAUUCGUUUCUUGGUGGAUUUGACGAAUUGGGGAAGUUGGUUUCAGGGGGGUUGGGAUUUUGUUUUAUACCACCGGCUGGAAGAAGGGUAUAGAUGAGAUUUGUUAAGUGGUGUAGGGGUAUGAUUGGGAAUCUACAGUAGAGGAAUAAAGAAGCUGAGCCGCGUUUUUAUGAGUCAGAAUCAGAAAGUAGGGGCCCACCGGCCCAGUAUGAAAGGGAGUGAUCAUGUGGGGACGGGUGUACCUACUGGAAUUCGGUUUGGGUAAUGGGUGAACCGUUUAACCAACUAAAGAAAGGUGGAAUUUAAUUACGGUUAACGCUAAAAAAAUGGGUCAAUAGCAUUGGCUCUUCGGGACAAACACAUCGAUACUCCUCUUUGAUCCAUUAUGUUUUGGAGCUCUUGACUGUUCAUGAUAUUUCCUAUAAAGAUUGAUAUGUCGACAUCAAAGGCAAUGUUGAGUUGAUUAUUUUUUGAUUCGCUCAUAGGAGUACACAUCGUGGAGCCGGCGAUGCCAUCCUCAGAGGUCCUGACCUCCCUGACUAUCUAUCCUCGUUUCUAGGUGCAGGUUGUUCGACAGUCUACUAAUUGGAGUUGUCCACUCAAUAACACAACACGCCCUUUAAUAUUUUUCAACUGUAUUAAGACCAAUUUCAUAAAUCAGAUCGAUUCUUAAAUUACAUGUGUUUGCCAUCUUAAUCCCUCCCAUUUGAAAUUACCUACGACAAAAAAUAGGUUAAUCGAAAAGAUAAAAUCGAGUUAAAUUAUUCAACCACACACUCCUCCGACCACGGAGAUCCUAGUCCAAUAAAAAAAUCAAACAAUUUUUCAAUAAAAUCCAUUAUGUUUAAUUAGGCUAGUCUAUAAAAAUUCCAUCUCUAAUUCUCUAUAAUUUACUUGGGGAACAAGAUAUUCCUAUGGUACACGUAGAGUGACAAUGACUUGAAAUUAAAAUUAAAUAGUGUAUAUUAUUCAUGUGCAAACUAAAUGUGUGAAGCAUAAACCAGAGUUAUAUGCUUAAGAAAACAUAUCAGAGCACGUUAAUCUGUUAUGUCACUUAAUUGUUAACCAACCAAAUUAAAACCGAUUAACCAAACUAACCAAAUAACCGAGCAAUUAAUUAACAAACUCCUAAGUAAGAAGCUCAUAUGAACGGCUCUUUGCGUAUCAAGGUUCAUUUUAUUCAUCAUCAAAAGAAUUAUGACACGAAACCUGUACUAUGAACGGCUAGAGAAUAUACUUUUACGUGACUAUUUGAAAAUUAAGCUUAUUUGAAAUUUUUUAAAUCGGUUAAUAUUUGACAUGCAUGUUGGGAGUGACUAAAAAUUGAGGGUUCAACAUGUUAAGCCCUUCAAAUAAUAGCCAAAUGCGGUUGAAAAUAUUUUUUGACAUACUAAAAUAAUAUCGAGUAAAAUUGAUUUUUAACUACUUUUGAUAACUAGAUAUAGGGGGUUACCAUUAUGAAACUGUAUUUCAACUCAAGCCUAACAAAUGAACUCAUGGAAGGUGAAAAAUUACAAUUCCGUCCUACAUCAAUGGGAUAUCUAGGGCUCAUAAUAAAAAUAGAAAAAGGAUGGAAAUUAAUUUAGUUGGAAGGGGAUCCCUACCCCUUCAUACACUAUUGAUUUAAUAGUAAAAAUCCCUCUACUAUUAUAUAUAUAUACUAGAAUUACCCGUAUGAUAUUGCGAUUGAAGAAUGGAAAAUAUCGCAAGAUCCAUAAAGGGUCAUAUGUGGGUUUAAAAUAAAGCGCUCAUAAACUCAAAAUAAAACUCUAAAAUGCAAAAUAAAUCUCUAAUAAACUCAAAAUAAAGCCCUCGUAAAAGAACCAAACACUAUUUAUUAAAUAGUAAUUCAUGUUCUCCGUUUAUAGAUAUAAAACUAGAAUUAUUCGCGCGAUGCUGCGGAAAUUAUUAGAGACUAUGUAGAGAUAGAUAAACUAUUCUUUUGUUAUAGAAAACGUAUUAGGAAAAUGAAAGCGUGAGACAAUUUAAGUAAAUAGAAUAAGAAAAACGGUAUAACAUGUCAUGUGCCUUCAAGACCAUAUAUGUAUAAAGGGUCUAACUAAUACAAAUUGUUUAUCAUGACUGUAAUGUAAUUACGAUUCAACUACAAUCUAUUANNNNNNNNNNNNNNNNNNNNNNNNNNNUUACUUAAUAAAUUGAUUUCGCAUAUCGUGAGACUCACCGAUUUGGAUGGUUCUGGAAACCAUGAAUAUGAAGAGAAUGGGAUUCUUUAUGCUUAGCUUUACUCUUUCAUGUAUCACCACGAUAUGUUCUUCCAGCCUUUCCUCCCAAAGAUGCUUUAAAGUUCUGUGCAAUUUCUUUCUGUUUCUCUACAAAUUUUCAACGGUGACAGAUCGGAAUUGGACAGUCGUGUAAUCUUCGUCGACGGUGCCUCAAUGUUCUUCUACUUUCUUCCGGCCUUUCCUCCCAAAUAUGCUUCCACGUAAUCUAAACUUAGUGCAAUUUCUUUCUCUGCUGUCUAUACGGUGGCCAGCCUGAUAAAAAUUGAAUAAAGGAAAAAUUAAAAAGAAUUAAUAGUGGAAUCACAGUUGAAUAAAAGAAGAAUAAAAAAAAUUAACAGUGGAAUAACACUAACGAUUAAUGUAAUUUUCGAUUUUAAAAUCGAUUAGUCCAUAAAAAAAAAGGAAAAUUUUGUCAGGGAUUUUUUGUAAAAGUGGCGGGGGGGGGGGUGAGAAGUAAAUUAAUACUCCUUAUAUACAUAAGGGUUUCGAUUAAUCCAUAAUCAUAACGGGCCUACAUUAACAAAUCAACGUACAAUAAAUGUUACAUCUUGGUUCGACAUAAAAACCUCCAAAAUUCAUUGCACGGUUCUCGUCGGUAAAGGAGACGCCUCGAUGUUUCUACUUUCAACACGUAGGACGACCACGAACAUCGAUCCACGAUGUCAACUGGCUGGCUUGGCUUGUACAUAAACUUGAAUGACAAGAAUCAAUCAUUCAUCUUCUUGUCAUUAAAAGAAAAAUAAGGUAGCCAAUUUGGAGACAAAAUGAUUCGAAGAGAUGUGAUGACUAAUGGGUAAAGAUUCUUUAAUCCUCUAUUGAUUUUCAUUGCGAGCGGGUCCUAAUCGGUUCAAAUCGUUAUGGGUGGUCCAAUCAACAAAUAGUUUGUUGAUAGAUAGAAUCGGUUGAGUAACGCCUUUUUAUAUAAACCACCUUCUAGUUGCUCAUGACGCUUCCUAACAAGAUAUGUAGGGAACGUUAGCUUGAGUGAAAGAAGGGGGGUAAGACUGUGUAAAUGAGAAUGAGCGAGAGACUGAAAAGUAUCUGAGACGGAGCCCGUGGGCGUUUUCUAUAGGCCAAGGCGUAACGUGGGAGACUCGACGUCGGUGUCGCAGGCUAUCCGUCAGGCCAUGAGUAUAAGGUCUUUUCUUUUCUACUACCUAGUCCCGAGAUUCAGACCAUACAUUGAUGUGUCGUGAUCUAAACGAUCUAUCUGUUGCCGUCGAAUCUGAACCUUGGUUAUUAUCCAACUACACUUGCAUGGAGCUUGGACUGUUGUCGAGUGGGCUCCCCUUCAUGGGCUGGGCCUUGGGGCUUUUGGGCCUUGCUUGUAAGGAAAUAUAUACGUGUAGGGAAGUUGUUGCAUGCAUAUUAUAAUAAAACAAAAAGGAACCUCCGCCGUGCCGAUUAGACUCUUUCAUUUCCAAGCUCGACGGACUUAAGCUCUUACGGCGGCUGUUCUCUCUAUAAACAAAUUCUCCGCCGGAACAACAAAUUAAAAUCCGGAACAAAAAAAAAAAAGCAAUGGCUCCUCCGAUAAUCAUGCUGUCUUUUGUCUCACUAAUCAUAUCAUCAACCGUCGCCGAACCUCCCAGGUGUCAUUUCAACGGCCUCAUUUAUUAUGGGUGCGACUUGGGCCGCUGCUGUAGUAUCUGGAAUUACUGCAGCAGCGACCCGUAUUUCUGUGGCUCGGGUUCGGGUUAUUGUAAAUUUCAGUGUUUUCAAUCGGCUAAUAAUAAUCAAAUUGGUGGGAUAAUUAAUAUUUGUGAUAUAGUCGUUAAUGCUACGUAUAAUGUGUAUUACAACGACGACGACGUCGUAUCCCGUGGAUUGGCGGCGUCUUUGUCUUGUGGAAGUACUUCUCUUCUAAACGACACGUCGUCGUAUCACUCGGCAGCUUUUGGCCGUCGCCGUCGACACGACAAUAAUGCUGCUGCUUCUACCUGCGGCCAGUGCUUAAAGGUAAUAUAUUUGUCAAACAAUUUUUGUUUAAUAUUGGCUGAUAUUCGUAUUGGUAUCCUCUAAUAGUUAGUUAUUUAUGAUAUCAUAGUUUUUUUUGGAUGCGUAUAAAAUAGAAGAGCGGAAAUUGAACAUUAUAUUAGUAUGCGUUUGUGGGUUAUGUUGGAUUCGAAUUCGAAACUUUCAUAAGUAGAUAUUCAUAGAUCAAAUAUUUAAUGAGUGAAUGAUGAUAUUAUAUAAAAAAAUUUAAAAGUCAUUUUGAUGAGGUAUUUGAAUAAGAAUAAUUAAUUUAAUAUUUAAAAAUUUAUUAAUCAAAUAAGAUAAUUUAUGUCAUGUUUUUAUUUUAUAAAUUUCAUAUUGCAAUGUAAAUUUGUUUUACCAAAUAUUAUAUAUAAAAUAUCUUACCCAAACGAAGGUUACUUUGUGUUUUGCUAUGCGUUUGUGGUGCAGUUGAGAAAUCUGAAAUCUGGAACUGAAGCAACGGUGAGGAUCGUGCAUGAACUUACCACUGAGGGGCUUGAACUGAACAAUAGCACAUUUUACAAGCUUAGUAGUAAAACUAGAGAUCAUGAUGAUCACCUUGUUCUCAACUAUAAUCUUACAACUUGUCAUCAAGACUGACUAAGAUCCAACAAACCUUAUUCUAUUUUACUAAUUUCAAAGUUCAAUCUUUAUUAUAGCUAAACUAAUCUGUAACCAAACCUAUUCAGUGUUUCAAUUAACAUUUUUCAUAUUUGAGGGUGGAUAUGGUUAUGUUGUUAUAUAAUCGAGAGUUAUGGUUAGGUUACUGAAAAAAUGUUAUAAUAGACUUGGUCGACCCACGUAUGAGACUACAUACAUGCAAAAAAUAAGUUAAUUUGAAAAUUUUCAACAUUAACAUCCCACUAAAUAAAAAUAUUUUUUAACUUCAUUUGAUCAUUUUUUAACUUCAAUUGCUAAAAAUUGAGGUUUCACCAUAUUAACCCCUUCAAAUAACAGUCAAAUGAAGUUAAAAAUUAUUUUUCAAUAUGCAAAUUAAAGUUUUGAUGAUUGAUGUUAGUAGAUGUAUGUACUUUCUGAUUAUUAAAAUUUAUAAUUUGAAUUUGUAGCGGUUUUCCGCUGUAUAAUAAUAUAACACCUACGUACACUUACACAAAAAAGAACAAAAAAAACACAUAUUACGUCUAUAUUGAAUACAAACAAUAGCAUUCAUCCAAAAACAGAAUAAAAACAAUAAAUCUACACUGAAAAAAUAAAGACAUAUUUUACGUGUAGGAAACUAAAAGGAACCUAAGCCUGCCGAUUAGACUCGUUGUUGUGCAGUUAAUUUUGACGGACUCAAGCCUCUUACGGCGGUUGCUUCUUUCUAUAAACAAAGAGUGAAUGAAUAGUUUGUAAACAUUACGAUGAGUCCGCGUUUCGGUCAGAUCGGUAACUCUAAUUUUCUUUUGUUCGGUUUCCAGCGCAUACCAAGAGAAAAAACAAGAAUAAUGACUCCUCCAAUCAUUGCUGCAACAUUAAUACUACUGUUGUUGUCCUCAUCCUCGUCGUCGACCGUUGGCGCCGAACCCGCAGAUCACAGGUGUUACGACGAUCCGAAAGACGGCACGCGCCACGGGUGCGACUCGGGGAGGUGCUGCAGUUUCUACGGUUACUGCAGUGACGACCCAGGGAUCUGUGACCCGGGUUCUAAUCUCUGUCUAUUUCAGUGCUUUUCUUCAUCUCAUGUUCAUACGGCCAAUGCUACGACGUCGUAUAAUGAUCAGUACUAUAACGACAACGUCGUCACCGUCGGUAGAUCGUCCAAUCAUGCGCUGGCAUCAUUUUCGUCGUCGUCGCCGUUAUCUCCUCUAAAGAUCAUGAUGAUCACCUUAUUCUCAAGUACCAUCUUACUACUUGUCAUGACCGACUAAGAUCCAACAACUUUUGUAAUAAGUCACAUGUCUGGUUCGAUUUACCGGUUCGUAUUAUAUAGAAUUUGAAAUGUACCGUUUCGUAUAUCAUGUAUACUAAUAAAUAAUGUUUAUAUAUAAAGAAAAAUAUAAGGUAUCUGCUCGUUGAAAAGAGACGUCAAAUUAAAAUUACAUAAAAUGCCUAGACAAACUAGGGAGUAGGAUCCUAAAUUUCUUUAUGGUCUUAAUAAUUCGAUUACUCAAAUCUUUAUCAUAUGUCUAUUGAGAUGAGUUUUUUGGUGUAGGUUUCACGAAUUUUAGGUUAAAAUUAUGAGAUGAACAAGUGAAUGAAUUGGGUUAGAACAAAUUAUGUUUUGGAGGAAGCUAAAUGGCUAUAUGUAGCCUCCUAAUAUGGCAGGAAAUUUUAUUAAUUAGAAUCAUAUAUAAUUUUGCAUUAAUUGAAUAUGCAUUUGAAGAAUUACCAUAUUGAAAUUUUUAUUUAUCGGCCGUUAAACUCGAUCGGAUUGAAAUUGAUAAUAUUUUGGAACUCAACCAGUAUGAUUUGAUUCUAUUCAACCAUAACCAGUGGUUAAAACAGAUCAUUUUUUAUCACGCUUGAUUGACACUGAGCACACGAGAAAACAAGACAUAGUUGAUCAAGCUACCACGCGAAGUGAAGUGAGUGCAUAAGUGGAAUCCAAGACCUCUGAAGUGUAAUGUCGAUAGCUAAAUAAGGUUUUUUGCCACCUGUGUACUCAUUUUAUUUUGUCGGGAGAGAUCGAAAUAAGUAUUUAUUUUCGAUUUUGGGUAAGUUGGGUUUGUUUUUGGUAUGUAAGUUUUAAAUUUGUAACGACAUUCACUUUGGCGGUAAAUUUAUUUCAUUAUAAAACGUUUUUUUUUCAAAUCAUAUAGAUCUCCUUUGCCGCCCAUUUAACAACAAAUCCCCCCGUUUCCAAUUCAGAAUCAAUUGACGCCGGCGCCGGAGCAAUUACCUCCCGCCAAUCCCCGUCCAGCAGCGCCCGAUCCAGAUCCCCUCUCCAAAUACCUAGAGAAAUUCAUCAUCUCCGAUUCCGCAAUCCGCAUCUGCUCCAAGCUCAAAUCCUCCACCGGAAAAUCCCACCAGUCAGCCGCCUGCUCCUCCUUCUUCCUCCUCUCCGUACUCACCGCCUCCGCCCGCUUCUUCAUCGCCUCCGAUCCGGCCUCCAGCUCGAUAACCUGCAGGUUCAGCUCGUCGAUCGUCAACCUGUUGCGCAUCCUGUUAAACCUGCGGGCGGCCAGAUCGGUCACCAUCCCCUGCACGUCGGUCGUCUCCGGCACAGGCCGGAGGAACCGGCCGGCGACGGAUUCGAUCGACGGGAAGCCGUAGGUGAAAGGCCUACCGGAGGGGGAGAAGAACAAGACCCCAACCUCUGCCCCGCAGAGGGAGACGAUAUCGCUCGCCUUCUUGUAGAUCCCCGCCCGACGCUUCGAGAAAGUGAUCGAGCGGGCGUCGGAGUUUUCGAUCCGUUGCAUCGGGAUCUUUCGCCUGCCUCUCGUCUUCUUGGUGUUUUCCGGUUCCGCCAUGGGAAGGAAAAAUGUAAUAUUCAGUGAAUUUUAGUUCGUGAUAUUCCGAGGAUUUUUGCCUAUAAUUUAUAAUAGUGGUGUAAGUGUAACACUUUUGACAAAUAAGGAAAAAUAAUGAAUGAGUUGUCAUAAUUGUAAGAUAUGGUAGUUUUAAGGAAUAUGGAAACAAAUAUAAUGUUGGAUUUUUUCAAAUCUGUUUGGUUCUACCUACUACAAUAUUUUAUUUGGUAAAUUAAUUUUGGAGGUUUAUGUGGAGAAAAUUGUAUUUUAAAUAUGUUGUAAUGAAACUUUUUAACCUAGUUACUUUAAAUGUAGAGUUUUCUUGCAAUGCUUUUUAAGCUUUUUAUGUUAAAAAAUCUCACCAAUUAGGAAAAGUAUUUGAGUUUUUUUUUGAAAAUUAAAAGGAAACUAUUAUCAUAAACUAUUAUAUCCUAAUAAUUUGAAUUAUUAAAAAAGAAAUUAAUUAUAAAUUACAUCAAAAAUAUCAAAUAUGAAAAGAGUACAUACCAAAUUGCUUCUAAUUCUCGAUACCGGCAAAAUAACCUAUUACGUAAAUUUUUUCACGGUAAAAAAAAAUAAACUCGAUCUUCCAUACUUUCAUCGUUUAACUCAUGAAUUUUCUAAAUUUUUCUGUUCUCUUUUCUUCUGUUUAUUAAAGGUUAUUGUAGCGGUUCUAUCGUCGAGGACUCCGUGGCCCAAUGGAUAAGGCGCUGGUCUACGAAACCAGAGACUCUGGGUUCGAUCCCCAGCGGAGUCGUUCUUACCUAUUUUUAAUAUGCAGACGGAUUUCUAUCCCCAAAAUUUUUAAAGCUCUUAUUGAAUCAUUUCCAAAUUUUGGUUAAAGAUUCUGAACAAGCAUAUAGUUUGUAGGUAUAUAACAACAUUCUGAACAAAUCUAAUACACCCGAAUCGUCUCAGUUCUCUUCGUCGAUGGUUACUCCGAUUCUUCUGGGCAAAUGAUUAUGAGUUGACUUCUAAGACCUGAAUCGUCUCGUUGAUGGUUACUCAGGGAUUCUUCUGGGUUAAUGAUGGGUCGACCUGGGAGUUUGGGUGUGGAGUGGAGAUGCAAGGUACGAUCGUAAAACGAACGUUAUAACGAACCAUCUAUUACACAAAUCAUUUAUAACAAUUUCAACAGCGAACUGUGGAUCUUGUAAGUCUUAAUCAGCAAAACCUUGGCAAUGAUUUUCAUCAUGUGUAUGCCAGAGAGAAGAAACCAACUCUUUCCACUCCUCAGCUCUGAAUCCGAUCACUCAUGGCGGUGCAAGCUGAUUCUAGCUCCAGACAGUUUUCACACCCUCUGAAAGUUCGAUGGGAUUCAGAUGAUACUCAUGAAAGUUCGCUCUCUAAAAUCACUUUGUGGGGAUCCAACUUUCCGGCUGUCAAACCAAGCCAUUGAGUCUUCACUUUCUUUCUCCGAUUUUGCCAAAAUCUUUAGGAGGCCACACCUGGAAAUCCAUACACAGAACAUCAGAACAUCAAAACAAACACUGAUGAACAAUUCUAGAGUGAAAUCAAGCAAUUUGAUUCAUUAGACAUUGUACCUAUACAGAGAGAGGAAAGAUGAGAGAAUAGGAAUAUAUACCCUCCAAAACAACUUAGCUUCAACAAGUGCAAUAAGGAACAGGGCCAAAGUCCCUCGAAUCUUUCGAAUUGUAGAUGUUAUCUCCUUAUAUCCAAACAUGUCUCCUCGGAACCUAAACCCAAACCAAGUUCUCAUUCAGCAAACACAGCAAAGAAAGCCAGGAGAGACACAGACAGAAGUAUUCAUUAACAUUAUACCACAGCAGUGUGGACUUCGUCGCUCUUAUAAGGAUCGAGCAAGUAAGUAACUUGUUCCCCCUCCAUGCCAAGGACUCGUUUGGUCACGAUCCUUCUCGGGUCUAGUGGCGAUCGGACUAUAACAAUGUCGCCAACCUUCACCUUUCCAAGCCGCGGGGAGACCCUCUCGGCCAGGAUUAGGUCGCCAGUGAGGUUGAUAGUUGGAACCAUGCUCGGACCGUAAGCCUGCAAAAAUCCCUCUCCAAAGCACACAAAUGAAAAAGACAUCAAAUUUCGGAUUCGAGCUGGAAGGAAAUGUGUGAGGUUUUCCAGCAAUGUGCAGAAACUUACAAGUGCAAGUGUACAGAGGUGGGAAUUCGUGACGUGGAGGAUGGCGUAUGCCUUUGCCACCAUUAGGGUUUUGUCACAGACCUCUCUGAUGAAGCUCCGCAUCAUCUGGAAACCCAAUUGCGAUUAUAUCAAAAAAAUUCACUAAUUGGUUGCUCUACGAGACUGCAAAAUUUAAUCGAUCGAAAGCUUGGUAAUCAGCGGCAGCAGACAGCAGUAGUACCGAGAUUCAAUCGCCAUGGGAAAAAGGACAAAGAUCAAACAAUGAGAAAAUAGGUGAGAGAAGAACAGCACUAUACCGCCGGCGGAAGGAUGAUUUGUCGGCGUCGAUUAGAUCGGCGGAGAGGCGAAGAAUCUCGUCGGCCAUUUGUUAGCUUGGGAGAAAGAUAGAGUUCAGUACGGGCUAUUGUGAUCAUAAUGGCGGGAAGAAACGGCGGCGUUUUAAAGUGACUUGGCAAUGGGUCGGAUACGGGACGGAUACCCCUAUCCCCUAUCCAUUGCCCGUGAAUAAUGCCCAUGGGUUUUACCCGUCACCGAUCCAUUAAACUUGAUGGGUAAAAAGUUAUUACCAAACCCAUAUUGGUAACGUUUUCGGGUAAACCCAUGGUUGUCGGGUAUACCCAAUGUGAAGUAAAAACUGUGAAAUUUCAUUACUCAGAAUUCAGAAACUGAAAUGUAAAAAGUAUCCAAGAAAUAUGAAUCCAGAGCUAAGAACAGUUACCCAAAUUCCAGAACUCUGGGAAAUGAACUCGGAAAGAAAAACACAAACUGAAGUCUGAAACCCUAAAAAUUGUUUAUAUAUCAUAGACAAAACGACGUCGUUUUGUUAUCGGAUCGGUGAUGGGUCGGAUAUCCCAUUAACCAUAACCGCCCGUCGCCCGAAUUUCGUCGGGUAGCAGGUGUGCCCGAAACCGACAAAACCCCACGGUUAAUAGGCGCAAAUCGGCUCAAUUCGGGCGGGCUCCAGCGGAUACCCGAAACCCACGGACCUACUGCCAACCCUACUAUUGCGAUAGGUUUUAAAAUAUAAUUGACCAACGUAUACUCUGAACUGAUACAUAUAUGCCUCGAAACAAAUUUGUAAUCCGAGUCUUUCGGGUGAGAAGCGAAUAUCCUAAACAACUAGACUAUAUCGAAUUAAAUAUUAGUUGAAUGUGAAUAGCACUAUUCGUAAAAUGUAUUACUAUCUUGACUUGGUUUGUCAACGUUUUCGAUUAGAUUGAAUAGUUGAUGUCCAUUAUCAAUUUAUUCUAGUUUUAGUUUUAGGUAGGCUGAAUUCAGGCAUGAUAUAUUGGGAUAUCAUCCAUGAUAUAUAAAGAGUAAAAUACGGUUCAUGCUACUAUAAUCUUAAUAUAUUACACCAAAUGUUAUUAUAAUUUAUAUCAUUUUAACUUGGUAACUUGUUAGAUCUUAUAAACUUACAAUAAUAAAUAAACGCAUGUGAAACACUACCCUUGAUUAGAAAAUGAAGUAUGCAAAUUUUUUCAUUGCAUGAAUUUUCAUAACAAUUGUCGAGGGUAAUAUGAUUAAAGGCCAUGUGUUCAAAUAUCCCAAUAAGAAAACAUUGUAGCACAUCGCCAAGCCACGCAGUUUCAUAACUCAUAACUGAAUCAAACAAAUAACCAGAGAUUUGGUAGAAAUUCACAUUUUUAUCAAGCACAAAGUUGACUAUGAAUGCAGCCAAGAUGCAUUUGGAGUUUGAAAGCAUCCCAAGAGCGAACAUAGAAACCAAGAUCAACACGAAACUCAGGUAGUACUCGUUAUUCAUGCUGCUGAGUGGCGAGAAUUUUGUCUGAUUAGGGACACCAUCACAGGACGGACUGCGUAGACGCAGAACAAAACGAAAGCAACGGUGGCCGGAACUGAGUAGAGAACAUUCAGUGCGCUCACGGUGUAAGAAAACAGAAUCAACACGAAGAUCCAUCCAAUUAGAUCAUCAUGAUCCUAACUCGUCUCUGUCAGGUUGUCUUUACAGUUUGGUCAGUCAGAUUGUUAGCUGAUUUUUGGUAAUCAUAGGUCAAGUGGUAGUUAGUGGGAGCCUGUUUUGUAGGCUGAGAUCUUUGCUAUGUAAGUUGUGCAACGAUCAUUCAAUAAAAGUGUCGGAUUGCCCUCCUCUGAGUUUACAGUCAAUAGAUUCACACUCCAUAGAUUUCAAGAACGCAUCCAUCGCAAUUCAUUAGAAAACCUCACCCUCAAGGCCUCAACCAAACAGCCCCCACCCUGCAACAAUCACAGAUCUCAACUUAGGAAAUCGAAGGAUGAAAGUAGGAAUGGUUACGGUUUAAGCUUUCAUCCGGCAGAACAGCCUAAGAAGAACAUCACAGACGAAUCUAACUUAGUACAUAGCAAGAACUUACGAUUCCAGUUUCCAUUUUGUAUUUUGAUUCAAUUAUUAUUUGUCGAAUGACGUGGCAACAUACGAAAAAGUAUGAAUCCACAAUAUAUAGGGUAAAUAAGCUUUAUUGGAAAAUAAUAUAUCAAAAGCAAAACGAAUACUCCGUGGAAACAUGUAUCGGGUGCAAACGUCAUAUGACGGUAUAUCAUUGGGUGAUUUUUAUUUUUUUAUCAAAUAGUAGUGUGUUAGCCUUUAUAAAUGUAAAAACGUACAAAUCAAUUCUUAAAAUUUAUAAUUUAAAUUCAUUCCACCGUUAAUUCUUUUUAUAAGUGAUGUUGAAUUUAUUGAAGGGGUUCCAUGAAAAGUGGAACAAACCCAUAAGAACUCUUCUUCAAUUCCUCAGUGGUUGUCAGUUCAAUCUCUGCCAACUUCCUAACCAUCAUCUCAACCAUCUUUCAUUAAUUCCUCUUCCGACGAUUACAACACUGUCAAGAUAUUCAAUGACCCAGUACUUUUACCACAGGGUAAAAGAAACUAGUAAGAAAUAUUUACUGCCCUGUUUGCAGGAAAUGGCCAAAAAUCAGAGCUGAGUUGUUUCUUUAUUCGAUUUGAUCACAUGGUCUGGUUCUAGGACGUUUGUUUCUUUAUAUUUUUAAUUUUUGUUAUUUAUUAUUAUUAUGUCUCCUGGUAAUUUUGGUUUUAUGUAGAAUUAGUUUGGAUGAGAUCUUUUCGAAUGUAUAGUAUUUUGGAGAGAAAUAAUGCGUUGUUUGAGAAUAUAUUUAUAGCGGGAGAAUUAUCUUAUUUCACUAAUUGAGUUAUUUAAUAUGGCAUCUUGAUAACGCAAAUAUCACGUUCUCAAAACAUGUGGUAUUUCAAAUACAUAAGAGGUGGGGAGGUAUUUGAAAUAAUUCGAAAAAAAUAUGAAAUAAUUCGAAAAAAAUAAGUUAUUCCAAAUACCACAUCCCAAAAUGUCUCAGAUUUCAUUUUAGUUGUAAAAAUAAAUUAUAUCGAUGAGGUAUUUAAAAUAAUCACGAUCUAAAAUACAUAGACAAAAUAAUACCAAAAACCAAUUAUAUGGAUCAAAAUAUCUCAUCCAAACUAACAUCAUCGACAAAAACAUACUCCCGAAUAAUAAUUCAUUUUCAUAUUCAUCGCAUUUUGAUGAAUUUUUCGAACCAUCAAAACAAGUAAAAAGUUUGAUAUCUCGUCCGAACAGACCAAUAGAAUAGAUUCCUACCGAAAAAUCCAAACCCAAGAGUAUGAUUUUAUCAAAAAAAAUUCAUACCAAAACCAACCAAUUCCUGAGACUGUAGCAUCUGUAAAUUUCACAGGUUUUAUACGUGUUAAAAGAACAAAGACGAGCAAAAGAAACAAAGAAAUUCUUCUUCCAGUAUUCUGUAUUUCCUGUAAGCAAAAGACUGACUCUACCAAGUAUAGUCGUGCAUAUAUAAACAAAUUUCACCAUUGAAAGAAUUAUUAUGCUUAGAACAUAUUUACACGGAAGAACCAUGGCAGCACGAAUGCGAUUACCAGGCAUGCCAUCAGGAAGUUGCAGAAUGGUUGUCCCCUCCAGCAUCCUCCUCCUCCGCCGGUUUCCGAUUGGUUCGUGCCGUGGAUUAGUCUCAUCUGGUUCCACUCCUCCAUGAAUCCCAUGUUGUCCGCCACGCCUGUGAUGUUCUUUGCUGUCUCCCCGCAGAUUUCACACACUCUGCAAACGAAUACAAAGAACAAAACGAUGUGUUAUAAGAUGGUAUUGCAAAUGAUUCUAUCUCGAAAUUAUGAUAUGGCUGCGUUAAUGAAUAAUAUAAACUCUGAUCUUGGACCCUCUCGUAACAGUUCGAGUUGUUGAGAUUUUUUAUGCAAAGGUUCGUUCUUAACAUGGCAUUAGAAGCUUUGCCUGAUAAAAGAUCAAUGUUACAUAUCUCGAUAGCCCCUUAUCUUGGUUGCACAAGGAUUCUCGAAGUUGCGCAAACCUCGGACUCUUCAAAGAGCGCUUCCGUUUGAAGGGUCGUGUUAACGAAUAUAAACCUCAAUCUUGAACCCUCCCCCAACAACUCGAGUUAUUGGUACGCAAUGUUUCAUAACAAAACGCAGUUCACUAUAACAAGUUCACUAAGCUCAGUAGUAUAGUUUCUAAGUUGAAAGGUAUCUGCAAACAAGCAUGAUUGCCGAAAAAUUCUGCAAAAUCAAUUGCAACAUCAAACUACAAUCCAGCAUCAAACACUAACAACGUUAGCUAAACAAAUUUCAAAUGUUCUUUUUCAUUUACCUGUUGCCUUUGAGCUUAAACCAAGCUUCCCCGCAAUGAGAAUGAGCAACACCAAGCUCAUCUUUACAUCCACAACCAAGCUGAAUCAGCUCCAUUGAUGUCACUACCACACCAGGAGCAGCCGCCACUACCUCUAUCGACCCUUCAGAACUCAAAUGGCAGAUCCUGCAAACCUUCUCCCCACCAUCAAAGUUCAUCUCAAUCACAUACGACGACGCCUUAUCAAAUUUCGAAACUUUUGCCGCCUUAGAUUUGUCCGAGUUCAUGCCAUUUCCUUCCCCUCCUUCAUCAAAUGCAUCCACUUUUCCAUGCCCACCACCUGUUCGACCAUUUUCCGAGCUGACUCCUGCAUCCAAAUCACUGAAACUCCCCGCCACCUGGCAAGAAUUCUUCACCAGCUCGUCCUUAGCAACCAAUUCUGUUCUUGAAUCUGACAAUUCCUUAGCAAUCUCAUUGACUUUCUCAUGCCCACCACCUGUUCGACCAUUUUCCGAGCCCACAUCCCGCCGCAAUUCGUCCACUCCUUCAUCCAAAUCUCUGUUCCCGCCACUGAAACUUGCCGCCGGCGCGUCUGUUUUUGAAUCUGACGAUUCCUUAUUAGCAAUCAUCUCCAAGCCAAUUCCAUUGCCGGAAACUUGAACCGUUCCUCGACUUGAAUCCCCAGCUUCCACCAUUCUACAAAACCUCUAAAGCUAUAACCUUUAUCUUCUUCAAAAUCUGUACACCAUGGGAAUGGGAUUUGUGGGACUCCCAGCUCGGAAUCUCUGGUUUAAGGACAGACGGUAAAAAUUCGGACGAAUCGUAGAAGACAACAGAAGGAAAUAUGAUAACUUUGCGGAAAGAAACUGAAGACCCAGUUGUCGUUUCUGGCUCUUCGUCGUUACUAACUUCAUAUCAAACUCCAACGCAUAAAUCCGAAAGCUUUAGCCGGCCAUUUGAAGAAAGACUAAGCGUUUACCUGCAGAGAGAUGAGAGAGAAAUUCCUCUGUGUUUUUUUUUCAAAUUUGUUAACUAUCGAAAUAGAGAGAUUAGGGAAACUGAUAAUAAUGUGCUGAAAUUUUACAAGAGAAAUUAGCAAACAAGGAGGAUAGGUACAUAUUAGUACACCAAACACACAUCGGAUCGGGUCGUCGAAUCAUCUUCAUAACUCAUAAGGUUAAAGAUGGUAAUAAAACAAUAUUAAUAUGGCCAUUAAAUUAUCGAUCAAAUUGAUUAUUUAUGAUAUCAUUUUAUAUAGUUUUUUGUGAAAUAUCUCUAAGGUUUAUUCACGCUAAUUAGAUUUUAUACCUUUUCAUUUAGAAGCAUGUUAAUGAAUGAUAUUGAACCUUUUCCAAGUUCCAACCAUAGACCGAUCCAAGAUGGCUUAGAAGUCUAAAUUCCAAAAUCUACCUCGUUUCCGUUGCUUCGAAAAUCCAAUUACAUAUUAGUCAAAAUUAAGAACAAUGAUACAUAUGAUAUCAUAACUCUUAAUCAAGGAGACCCUAAUCGUUUAACCAUAAGAGCAUAUACAUAAAUCUGUUCGUAUUUUCAAUAACUCGAGUUAUUUCUACAAAAUGAAUUGACAAUCACGAGUAAUGUGUACAUGAAUCAAACAAGGAAUCUCGUAGUUUAAGGUUGAUUAAGAAAUUAAAACAUGAUCCACGUCCUUAUUGGCUGGAAAUAAAUGACAUGUGCCGUGCCAACCAAGCAACCAACCCCAAUCCUUUCUUCAUUUAUGAAAAAAAGAAAAUUCCAGCAGAAAAUAACAAACAUUAAUGAUAUAAAAUUGAUUAGUCUCUCUUCAAGUAGGGUCGACUAAUUUGGGGAUUGUUAGGCAUUCUGACUCCAAUUGGGGCCACUUGGGUUAAGCCUAUGGUCAAUCCAAGAACGUUAACUCUUAUAUCGACCUUCGUCAUAGCAUACCGAUCAUCAGUUUGGUUUUCGAACAUGUAAGGUGAUUCGGUGGGUCGAAAUGACUGGGACGAAAUAUUAUGUUGGGACAGAAGACGAUUCAUUCAAGGUAAUUUCCAACUCUGAACCAUCAGAACAGAUUGUUUCUUAUUACAGUCUGACAAGGCCAGCCUGUUACUGGACACAAGAUACUGGGACACAAAUGAUUGACUAACAAUAAACACAGCACAUGUUCUUUGCAAGUCAACCGAUUUCAUCCGGUUUGAGAUUGGUCACAGUCGUGAGUUUGUCGCUCAAUUCGGUUUUCAGUCAAUUCUAUCCAUUAACAAAUUUGAUUGAAAAGACAAUUAGUUUGCUCGAAGUUUGAUUAGCUCACCAACCCGCUCAAGCUAGCUCGCAAUUGUGAUCCUUCCAAUAGAGCUAAGAUCAAGCUCGUAUCUAAAGGAAGAUUGCCAAAAAUAAAAAGUCCAAGGCGCACUGCAACAGCUCUCGUUGCGUCGAAGACGAAACCCAACCACCUCAUAAAGGUUUCGAAGAAGUAUCGAGUCAGUUCAUAGCUAAUAAACACAGAACUGAUGGGAAAACACAAGCUGAAGAGCAAAAACAAUUUUAACAUUACACUUUGCACAACAGACAGACAAAUAUUGUUGCAGUAGCUUACUCUUAGAUCAACAACACAGCAUGAAUAAUACAGAAACAAAAACAACCCCCUCCGAUCCUCGACAGUUGCCCAACUUUCGUCUGUCGUAUAAUUCGGGGGAGGGGAGAUAAUUUCUUCCUAGUUUACAAAGAGUACACUUUCUCAAAAGCUUUAAUUUACCUCUUGCUACAAAAGGCUACAUAAAUCGCAAGUCCCCCAUCGGGCUAUCUUUUUUUACUAUCAAACAUGUACAUAAACAACGAGCAUACAAGUGAUGGCGACGGAUGGGGAAGGAAGCUAAGAUGGAAAUCAAUUAAACAUCGGCGGGGAGAGUGCUAUGAUCAAGCCUCCUGCGAUCCAAUUCGUGCCGGUGGGAGGAGGUAGGCAAGAAAUGGGUGCUAGGUUAGGCAGAGCGGUAGUAGGCCGCGGCAGGAUAACUGAUCGUUCCAUUUUCGCAUUAUUGAAAAAAUU